rnacentral:rRNA from 1 species
CCUACGGGAGGCAGCAGUGAGGAAUAUUGGUCAAUGGGCGGGAGCCUGAACCAGCCAAGUCGCGUGAGUGAAGACGGUCCUAUGGAUUGUAAACCUCUUUAGGCGGGGAGCAAUGCCGGGCACGUGUGCCCGGAGGGAGAGUACCCGCAGAAUAAGCAUCGGCUAACUCCGUGCCAGCAGCCGCGGUAAUACGGAGGAUGCGAGCGUUAUCCGGAUUUAUUGGGUGUAAAGGGAGCGUAGGCGGGUUGUUAAGUCAGUUGUGAAAGUUUGCUGCUCAACCGUAGAAUUGCAGUUGAAGCUGGCAGUCUUGAGUACAGUAGAGGUGGGCGGAAUUCGUGGUGUAGCGGUGAAAUGCUUAGAUAUCACGAAGAACUCCGAUUGCGAAGGCAGCUCACUGGACUGCAACUGACACUGAGGCUCGAAAGUGUGGGGAUCAAACAGGAUUAGAUACCCUUGUAGUC